rnacentral:rRNA from 1 species
CAGUAGCCGCGGUAAUACGAAGGGGGCUAGCGUUGUUCGGAUUUACUGGGCGUAAAGCGCACGUAGGCGGAUUUUUAAGUCAGGGGUGAAAUCCCAAGGCUCAACCUUGGAACUGCCUUUGAUACUGGGGAUCUUGAGUCCGGGAGAGGUGAGUGGAACUGCGAGUGUAGAGGUGAAAUUCGUAGAUAUUCGCAAGAACACCAGUGGCGAAGGCGGCUCACUGGCCCGGAACUGACGCUGAGGUGCGAAAGCGUGGGGAGCAAACAGGAUUAGAUACCCGGGUAGUCCCUGUCUCUUAUAC